UACAGAGGGUGCGAGCGUUGUCCGGAAUCACUGGGCGUAAAGGGCGUGUAGGCGGCUGGGUAAGCCGCGUGUGAAAUCCCGGGGCUCAACCCCGGAACGGCACGCGGGACUGUCCGGCUAGAGAAUGGUAGAGGCGAGUGGAAUUCCUGGUGUAGCGGUGGAAUGCGUAGAGAUCAGGAAGAACACCGGUGGCGAAGGCGGCUUUCUGGACGGAUACUGACGCUGAGACGCGAAAGCGUGGGGAGCAAACAGG
rnacentral:rRNA from 1 species